UUGAACACAAACUUUUAUUGCUUUGAACUGAAUGCUUCGUCAGACAUGGACAACACAUGUAACGACAACGACAAGAUGGCGAGCCUACCCAACGAGACAAGAUGGAUUCUACUACACACAGAGGAUUAGCCGGACUGGAAGCAUAAGGUCCUCCAUAUGAGUGGAGAAAUUGCAACCAAGCAGGCCCAAACGGUGAUGGAGUCUCCACCUUGCUGAACAGACAGGCUCCUGGCAGAUCCAACCAUCUGGAACCGUCUGAAAUGUCAUACUGCCUUUAAGCGGAAGCACCAAUAACAGGGAGC